GACGAACGCUGGCGGCGUGCCUAACACAUGCAAGUUGAGCGAAUGAAGUUCCUUCGGGAAUGGAUUUAGCGGCGGCCGGGUGAGUAACACGUGGGCAACCUGCCUCAUAGAGGGGAAUAGCCUUCCGAAAGGGAGAUUAAUACCGCAUAAGAUUGUAGUACCGCAUGGUACAGCAAUUAAAGGAGCAAUCCGCUAGGAGAUGGGCCCGCGGCGCAUUAGCUAGUUGGUGAGGUAAUGGCUCACCAAGGCGACGAUGUGUAGCCGACCUGAGAGGGUGAUCGGCCACAUUGGGACUGAGACACGGCCCAGACUCCUACGGGAGGCAGCAGUGGGGAAUAUUGCACAAUGGGGGAAACCCUGAUGCAGCAACGCCGCGUGAGUGAUGACGGCCUUCGGGUUGUAAAGCUCUGUCUUCAGGGACGAUAAUGACGGUACCUGAGGAGGAAGCCACGGCUAACUACGUGCCAGCCGCCGCUGUAACAC
rnacentral:rRNA from 1 species